AGGGUAUUAGUUAAAAAAUAACAUUUAUUUUGCAAAUAAAAAUUAAAAUUAA
rnacentral:tRNA from 12 species